CGGAGGCCGGCGCCGGGUUCAAGUAAUCCAGGAUAGGCUGUGGUCUGCGCAGUCGGCCUGUUCUCGAUUACUUGGCGCCGGAGCCGGCCGGCAGCU
rnacentral:ncRNA from 3 species